rnacentral:rRNA from 1 species
AUUGAACGCUGGCGGCAGGCUUAACACAUGCAAGUCGAACGAGUGGCGGACGGGGGAGUAAUGCUUGGGAAUCUAGCUUAUGGCGGGGGAUAACUACGGGAAACUGUAGCUAAUACCGCGUACCAUAGGAUGAGCCCAAGUGGGAUUAGGUAGUUGGUGAGGUAAAGGCUCACCAAGCCGACGCUCUAUAGCUGGUCUGAGAGGAUGACCCGCCACACUGGGACUGAGACACGGCCCAGACUCCUACUGUAGGCAGCAUUGGGGAAUAUUGCGCAAUGUGGCAAACCUGACGCAGCCAUGCCGCGUGAAUGAAGAAGGCCUUCGGGUUGUAAAGUUCUUUCGGUAGCGAGGCUUUAACUACAGAAGAAGCACCGGCUAACUCCGUGCCAGCAGCCGCGGUAAUU